ensembl:miRNA
AUGAUUAUAUGAGGGACAGAUGCCAGAAGCACUGGUUAUGAUUUGGAUCUGGCAUCCCUCACACAGAUAAUUAU